GUGCAACAACCCCAACCCCAGGUCCAAUGACUACAACUCCAGUUCCAACUACUACAACUCCAGCUCCAACCACCAAAACUGCAGCCACCACAAGUCCAGCUCCAACCACCACGAAUCAAGUUGGAACCACAACAACUCCAGCUCCAACUACCACAACUGCAGACACCACAACUCCGGCUCCAACUACCACAACUCUGGCUCCAACCAACACAACUGUAGCCACAACAACUCCGGCUACAACCACCACAACUGCAGCCAAAACAAGUCCAGCUCCAACCAAUACAACUCCAUAUCCAACUACCACAACUCUGGCUCAAACCACCACAACUGCAGCCACUAUAACUCUGGCUCCAACUACCACAACUGCAGCCACCACAACUCCGGCUCCAACUACCACAACUCUGGCUCCAACCAACACAACUGUAGCCACAACAACUCCGGCUCCAACCACCACAACUGCAGCCAAAACAAGUCCAGCUCCAACCACUACAACUCCAUAUCCAACUACCACAACUCUGGCUCCAACCAACACAACUGCAGCCACCACAACUCCAGCUCCAACCACUACAACUCCAUAUCCAACUACCACAACUCUGGCUCCAACCACCACAACUGCAGCCACCAUAACUCCCGCUACAACCACCACAAUUGCAGCCACACCAACUCCGGCUCCAACCACCACAACUCCAGCUCCAACCACCACAACUACUGCUCCAACCACAACAACUCAGGCACAAACUACUACAAUUUCAGCUCCAACUACUACAACUCCUGCUUCAACUACCCAACUCGCAGCCACACCAACUCCGGCUCAACCACCACAACUCCGACUCAACCACCACAACUCCAGCUCCAACCACCACAACUCCUGCUCCAACCACUACAACUCUCACUCAGUCUAUUAUAACUCCGGCUCAAACUACUACCAUUCCAUCUCCAACCACCACAACUCCGGCUCCAACCACCACAACUCUGACUCCAACCACCACAAUUCUAGCUCCAACCACCACAACUGCAACCACCACAACUCCGGGUCCAACAACCCCAACUCCGGGUCCAACGACUACAACUCUGGCUCCAACUACUACAACUCCAGCUCCAACCAGCACAACUGUAGCAACCACAAGUCCGGCUCCAACCACUACAUCUCCAGAUCCAACCACUACAACUCCGGCUCCAACCACCACAACUCCAACUCAAACCACUACAACUCCUGCUCCAACCACCACAACUGCAGCCAAAACAAGUCCAGCUCCAUCCACUACAACUCCAGCUAAAACUACUAUAACUCCUGGUCCAACCACAAAAUCUCCAGCUCCAACCACCAGAACUGCAGCCACCACAAGUCCAGCUCCAACCACCACGACUCAAGUUGCAACCACAACAACUCCAGCUCCAACUACCACAACUGCAGCCACCACAACUCCGGCUCCAACUACCACAACUCCGGCUCCAACCACCACAACUGCAGCCAAAACAAGUCCAGCUCCAACCACUACAACUUCAUAUCCAACUACCACAACUCUGGGUCCAACCACCACAACUGCAGCCACCAUAACUCCCGCUACAACCACCCCAACUGCAGCCACACCAACUCCGGCUCAAACCACCACAACUCCGGCUCAAACCACCACAACUCCAGCUCCAACCACCACAACUCCUGCUCCAACCACUACAACUCUCACUCAAUCUAUUAUAACUCCGGCUCAAACUACUACCAUUCCAUCUCCAACCACCACAACUGCAACCACCACAACUCCGGCUCCAACCACUACAACUCCGGCUACAACCACAAAAACUCCAGCUUUAAACACAACAACUGCAACCACCAAAACUCCGGUCCCGAUCAUCACAACUGUUGGUCCAACCUCUGCAACUCUGGCUCCAACCACUACAACUCUGGCACCAACCACUAAAACUGCAGCCACCACAACUCUGCCUCAGACAACGACAACUCUGCCUACGACCACCAAAACUCUUUAUCCAACCACAACAACUGUAGCCACAACAACUCCGGCUCCAACCACCCCAACUCCAACUCAAACCACUACAACUCCUGCUCCAACCACCACAACUGCAGCCAAACAAAGUCCAGCUCCAACCACUACAACUCCAUAUCCAACUACCACAACUCUGGCUCCAACCACCACAACUGCAGCCACCAUAACUCCUACUAAAACCACCACAAUUGCAGCCACACCAACUCUGGCUCUAA
rnacentral:lncRNA from 15 species